GGGUCGCUGGCUUAGCUUGGUUAAAGCGUUCGGCUGAUAACCGAAAGAUCCAGGGAUCGAAGCCCUGGCGACCCACCA
rnacentral:tRNA from 1 species